GACGAACGCUGGCGGCGUGCUUAACACAUGCAAGUCGAACGGAAAGGCCCUGCUUUUGUGGGGUGCUCGAGUGGCGAACGGGUGAGUAACACGUGAGUAACCUGCCCUUGACUUUGGGAUAACUUCAGGAAACUGGGGCUAAUACCGGAUAGGAGCUCCUGCUGCAUGGUGGGGGUUGGAAAGUUUCGGCGGUUGGGGAUGGACUCGCGGCUUAUCAGCUUGUUGGUGGGGUAGUGGCUUACCAAGGCUUUGACGGGUAGCCGGCCUGAGAGGGUGACCGGCCACAUUGGGACUGAGAUGCGGCCCAGACUCCUACGGGAGGCAGCAGUGGGGAAUAUUGCACAAUGGGCGGAAGCCUGAGGCAGCAACGCCGCGUGCGGGAUGACGGCAUUCGGGUUGUAAACCGCUUUCGCCUGUGACGAAGCGUGAGUGACGGUAAUGGGUAAAGAAGCACCGGCUAACUACGUG
rnacentral:rRNA from 1 species